GAUGAACGCUGGCGGCGUGCCUAAUACAUGCAAGUCGAGCGAACAGAUGAGGAGCUUGCUCCUCUGACGUUAGCGGCGGACGGGUGAGUAACACGUGGAUAACCUACCUAUAAGACUGGGAUAACUUCGGGAAACCGGAGCUAAUACCGGAUAAUAUAUUGAACCGCAUGGUUCAAUAGUGAAAGACGGUUUUGCUGUCACUUAUAGAUGGAUCCGCGCCGCAUUAGCUAGUUGGUAAGGUAACGGCUUACCAAGGCAACGAUGCGUAGCCGACCUGAGAGGGUGAGCGGCCACACUGGAACUGAGACACGGUCCAGACUCCUAAGGGAGGCAGCAGUAGGGAAUCUUCCGCAAUGGGCGAAAGCCUGACGGAGCAACGCCGCGUGAGUGAUGAAGGUCUUCGGAUCGUAAAACUCUGUUAUUAGGGAAGAACAAAUGUGUAAGUAACUAUGCACGUCUUGACGGUACCUAAUCAGAAAGCCACGGCUAACUACGUG
rnacentral:rRNA from 1 species